rnacentral:tRNA from 1 species
UGGGGUUUAGUGUAGUGGCUUGCACGUCGGGAUGUGACCCCGAAAGAGGAGUUCAAUUCUCCGGCUCCAACCA